rnacentral:rRNA from 1 species
GAUGAACGCUGGCGGCGUGCCUAAUACAUGCAAGUCGAGCGAACAGACGAGGAGCUUGCUCCUCUGACGAUAUCGGCGGACGGGUGUGUCGCGCGUGUAUACCCUACCUAUACGACUGAGAUAACUUCGGGACACCGGCUCUAAUCCCGUAUCAUCUAUUGAACCGCAUGGUUCAAUAGAGAAAGACGGUUUUGCUGUCACCUAUAGAUGGUUCCGCGCCGUAUUAGUUGGUUGGUAAGGUAGCGGCUUACAAAGGCAACGAUGCGUAGCCGACCUGAGGGGGUGAUCGCCACCCUUGGACCUGGACCACGGCCCAGACCCCUACGGGAGGCACCAGAAGGGAACCUUCCGCAUGGGGCGAAAGCUUGCCGGAGCACCGCGGCGUGGGUGAUGAGGGUCUUCGGUUCGUAAGACCCGGUGUUUGGGGAAAACCAAAGGUGUAAUUAACUAUGCACGUCUUGACGGUACCUAAUCAGAAAGCCACGGCUAACUACGUG